AAGUGCUGCGCUGGGCGCCGCGGGAUGCCGAGCUGAUCGAGCCCUGGAGGCCCAGCCUGGGCGAGCUGCUGGCCAGGCCCGAGGCUCUGACGCCCAGCAAUCUGUUCCUGCUUGCAGUCCUCGGGGCCCUCGCAUCAGCGAGUGCGACAGUGUUGGCGUGGUGAGUUCUGGGGACUCCGGAGCCCCAGCAUCUAGCUCCCCGCUGUCUCAGAUCCCACCGAGAAGUCUGGGUUCCCA
rnacentral:lncRNA from 1 species